GCUUCUUCUUCUUCAUUUCCCACUUGGCUAAAAUUCAUUUUUCCAUUUCCACUAUUGAUGCUCCUCCCUCAAAGCUUAUCAAACCUUGAUUUUACACCAUAAAACCACCUACUCUCUUCACUAAACUUGAUCCUUGUACUUUGAGUAACUUGAGGCAGCAAAAGGAAGAAGAAAUAAAGGAAGUUUGGCAAGUUGGGAUUAGCUCAUCAAGAGGUACUAGAGACACGGAGUGAGAACCUAGCAGACCCUAGACUGGGUGAGAGUCAGAUCUGUAUAGAGUCCAAAUUCGCCUCCAUUACAGUGCAUCCUUGGUAAGACUCUUAAGCAUCUUUUGGAUUUUGAAAUUUACAUUUUGUAAUAAAUAUUAGUUUUUAUUCUGUACAUUUGAAACUCAUGUAAUUAUAUGAUGAUGUAAUUAUCUAUAAAUUUUAUUAAAAAAAAAUAUGAGUAUUUCUUAUUGAA